rnacentral:misc_RNA from 1 species
GAUGAAGAACGCAGCAAAAUGCGAUAAGUAAUGUGAAUUGCAGAAUUCAGUGAAUCAUCGAAUCUUUGAACGCACAUUGCGCCCGCCAGUAUUCUGGCGGGCAUGCCUGUUCGAGCGUCAUUUCAACCCUCAAGCACAGCUUGGUGUUGGGACUCGCGUUAAUUCGCGUUCCCCAAAUUGAUUGGCGGUCACGUCGAGCUUCCAUAGCGUAGUACUAAAACCCUCGUUACUGGUAAUCGUCGCGGCCACGCCGUUAAACCCCAACUUCUGAAUGUUGACCUCGGAUCAGGUAGGAAUACCCGCUGAACUUAAGCAUAUCAAUAAGCGGAGGA